rnacentral:rRNA from 1 species
AUACGGAGGGUGCGAGCGUUAAUCGGAAUUACUGGGCGUAAAGCGUACGUAGGCGGUUGGUUAAGUUAGAUGUGAAAGCCCCGGGCUUAACCUGGGAACUGCAUUUAAAACUGGCGAACUAGAGUUGAGUAGAGGGGAGUGGAAUUUCAGGUGUAGCGGUGAAAUGCGUAGAGAUCUGAAGGAACCCCAGUGGCGAAGGCGACUCCCUGGACUCGAACUGACGCUGAGGUACGAAAGCGUGGGUAGCAAACGGGAUUAGAAACCCCAGUAGUCC